rnacentral:rRNA from 1 species
UACAGAGGGUGCAAACGUUGCUCGGAAUCAUUGGGCGUAAAGCGCACGUAGGCGGCCCAGCAAGCGGGGAGUGAAAGCCCUCGGCUUAACCGAGGAAGUGCUUUCCGAACUACUGGGCUUGAAUACUGGAGAGGGUCGCGGAAUUCCCGGUGUAGAGGUGAAAUUCGUAGAUAUCGAGAGGAACACCUGCGGCGAAGGCGGGUUGCUGGGCUGACACUGACGCUGAGGCGCGAAAGCUAGGGGAGCGAACGGG